rnacentral:lncRNA from 1 species
AGUACAAAGCUUUCAUGUUUACUUCUGCAGCUCUUGCUCAGGAGAAUCAAUUUACCUGAUGGGCACCUCUUGUGUGAUGCCACAGCUCCGUGCCUUUGUAGAGAUCCAGUUCAUCUUUGUGAAAGCAGAGUGAGGCUGCCAGUGUGCAGUUGUUUAAAAUAAGCUCCACGCUUCGCCGAUGUGGUGGAUAAAACUUGGGUUGCUUGAAAAGUGGGGCAAUAUUUCACAAUCGUGCAAAAGGAGAUACAGAAGAAGAGAGCAGAAUGAGAGCUUUGCAAGUGCCACAUGCCUGCAGCCUGAUGUCUUUAGUGAUGCUGUUCCUUCCAGUCACUGGAACAUCAAAACAAAAUAUCCCAAGACUGAAGCUUUCCUAUAAAGGUAAACUUUUCAGUAUUUUGUCUGAUUCUGUCACUUUUGUUUUGAUGUGAUGUUGCCAGCAGUUCAUUUGUAUUACUUACCAGGAAAGCAAAACACUGUCCCAGAAAUGCAUAAUAGAAACCUUAAGGAUGGAUGAAUUCUGCCUAGGGACAGUAUUAAAUUGUGGGGGUUUUUUGUUGUGUUGGGUUUUUCUAAUUAUUAUUUUAUUUUGUUUAUUUUUUUGUGUUUUAUUUUAUUUUUGUAAUUCUUUUUCUAUCACUAUGUUGGAAUGUUAGAUUCUUCAUAUGUGGUUUUCUUUCUCCUUGCCUCUUUGGAUCACAGGAGUGUGUUUCUUUGUGG